CCUCAGAGAACCAGGGGACUCCACCAUCUCUCCUGUGACAGUCAGUCCAAGCUUGGGGUGCUGUGAUGUUUGUUUGUUGCUGUCAGCAGGAACCUGCUCCCAGAUAGGGCCCAGCCAUGUGGGGUUUGGAAAGCCUCUGACAGAAUCAGGUUUUCUAUGGAGAUUACAAUUGACGACCUGUUUCCUGGCUGCUGGGAAGCCUUCAUGGACAGGGACUGUUGACACAUCAGUUUCCAGACCCAGCUGGAACCAGUCGAGAAAGUGGACCCGGUCGGGGACUGGAUCCUCGUCCCACGUCUCUUGCACAAGAAGGACACACAUACAUCAUGGAAGAAGACGGGCGAGCAGGUCAUCUGUCUUGGGGGGAGCUGAUUGUCCAUGUGACCAGGAAAAGGUCAGGAACCUGUGGGUAUUAAUUAAUCCAGCCGGCCACACAGCCUUCCUUGUUUAUUAGGGAAAGCCACGGCAUUUGGCCAGAAUGAUGGGUUUUUAAAGAUUGGAGAUUUAUUAAGAGGACAGCAUCUGCUUACUGUUUUGUGAGAAUUCAGCGUGUCUUUGUAAGGCUGUUGGGGAUAGUUGCGGUGGGUAACACAGGCAAACACUCCUUUUGUCACUCUCUUAUCAUAUUCCUGCCAAAAUCAGUCCUCCUGCCCUAUCUACACGGAGCCCCCCAAAGGGGUGAGCCCCUGCUCCCUUGUUGCAUGACUGGGGUUCCCGAGGUCCUCUCAGGUUAACACAAUACAGCCUGAAAUUCUAAAGUCAAUUGCUCUAGUAUAUGUGGAAUAGCUACUCUGUGCCAGCCAUGAUGGGGGCCUGGUUGACCCUCAGGUACGCAUGAAAACCUGUAGUGUUUUCCAGCUUGUAGAACAGGGGAUGCUCAGACACUCGGCUCUGAGCUUAGCCAGUGAGGACCACCCUUCCCCAUAAGCCCUGGGGGAGACCUCUGAGACUUCUGUCGCACACAUUUACCAUCACUCACCUCUUGGCUCUGGGCUGCAGCCUCAUUUCCACCCUCCCCUUCCCUGCUCCAGGUUCCUCAGUAGAGAUUCUAUCUCAAGAUCAUCCCAGUUAACCCCAUCUGUGUCCCAUAUCCACCCUGAUACAGACCCCUGAAUUGACACCUGUAAAUAUUUGUGUAUGUCUUAAAGGCUUGGACGAAGGAGGAUUUAGAUCACAGGAAUACAAAUGACGUCACAGCCUGAGUUGUGUAUCCGAUUUGUAAAUGCCCUCAGCUGUUGCCACAGUUGCAGAUGUUUGGAGCAUGGACUUACAGUUCCUCAGAGCCUCAAUAGUCCCCCAAGAACCAGUAGCCCAAAGGGGGCGCACAUGCUCCAGAGCAGUCGCAGGUGAUUUUAAGCCAUGUGGAGGAAUCCAUCCUUUAUUUAGAUAUGUAUUUAUGUUUAAUUUCAUUGAUACCAUCUCUCUACAGCAAGUGACACUCAUUUUACUUCUAUGGUAGUCAUGUAACUUUAAAAAACAAAACUAUUUUGUAUAAAAAGCGAGCCAUGUUGAAGGAGAAAUAUUAGGUAGACGACAGAGCAAGCAUGACAGAGAUGCGCCAACGCAACAGAGUGAGAUGCCAGGGACCCACUUCAGGUGUCCUCUUCCUGGUAGAGGUAGCAGCUCUCGGUCCUGAAUCCCAGUCCCCAGGUCCUACAACUUCAGGAGGCCACUCCGCUUCAUGAACCCCUAUCUCCUUAUCUGACAAGUGGGGAUGGUUACAUCAGCCUUUCACCACCUGAAGACAAUGAUAGAUGGACAAGAUAAAGUGAAUAACAGUAUUAUUGUUUUUAUUUACAUUAGUAUUUAUUAAAGAAUCUGACUGCCAUUGCAGGAGAUGUGGGUUCACUCCCUGGGUCGGGAAGAUUCCCCCGAGAAGGAAAUGGCAACCCACUCCACUAUUCUUGCCUGGGAAAUCCCAUAGAGGAGAAGUCUGGCGGGCUAUAGUCCAUGGGUCGCAAAAGAGUCAGACAGGGCUGAGCAACUAAACAACAACAACAAAUAAAAAAACGAACGUGUGCUAAGCUCCCGUUGCGUGUCAACCCCUCGCUAGGCAUCCCAUAGAUAUGACUCAUGUCAUCCUCCCACAGCCAGCGUGAGACCAGCAUGACAUACAUUUUAAAAAACAAGGCCUCUCAAAGUAAGAAGUCAGGUAUUUCCACACACCCCGUCAUAAGAUGGCAGGGAGCAAACAGUGAGAAGACAAAUAUUCUCUAACUAAUUCGACAGAAUUAAUUAAAUUCACAUUUUGAAAUGCUGAUUUAGUUCUGUAUUUAACUGUCUCCUGUUUUUAUGGAGCUUGUAAAGAGAUUAAAAAUAUCUGUCCAGCAAAGUAUCUUUAGCCGGUGCCCUGCUUUCUAGCAUCCAAAAGAUAGAAGCAUUCGGAAACAUGGCCUGUGUGAGAGAACAUUAGGAGAAAUAGUAGCAAUACACUGCGUCUAUGCCGGCCGUGGUUGUCUCUGGGCUCUAGGGACUGUAACUGUAUUUUCUUUCUCCUUUUCUCUCUCUCUUUUUUUUUAAAAGACUUUCUAUUUCACUGUAUUAAUCCAAAGGUCUACAAUAUGCACAUUAAAGUCAGCGGCACACGAGAAAAUUUCAGCAUAGAGUCCAACUUAUAAAUUUGCAGAAACUCCCUCAGGGGUCUGAGCAGCCAAAAUGAUCUUCAUGAUAACAUGAAGACAUUAUUUGGCCUUUUCAUUUUGUGUUGAUGGUGAGUGAAACUGCGGGCGCCUCAGCAUAAUGGAGGUCCUCGCAGUCCCCGUGCUGCUCACCGCCACGCUGUGCAGAAAGAGGAAAAGCCACUCUCACGUGGGAUACCAUGGAAUAUUACUCAGCCUUCACAAGGAGGGAAAUCCUGACACCACUGCGCAUCACACACGAACGUCAAAGACAUCAUGAUCCUGAAUUUGAAAAGGAAGAAGGGACUUGAUGAAGCAGUAACAGUUAUUAACUUCACUCCAUCUCAGUCUUCGAGCACAGACCUUUGAAAUACCCUGUGUGAUGAAACGAUGCACGCAGAGCAAUCCCGUCCAGUGUUGAAGCUGACAGCUCCCGCCAGGAGAAGCAGCUCUGUUAUAUGAGGGGUCCUAAGCUGGACCCCCUGCCUUUUUUUUUUUUUUUUUCUUCACAGAGCACCAUUUUCUCUUGAGAGAACCACUGAUACACAGACUCUGGUUAUUCAAACUUGACUACUUGGCAGAAUUUUCUGGAAAAUGAACAAAUGAAUCCUGUCACUUCCAGGAAAAUAACUGACAGUAUUUGUUGCCAAUGAUAAAAUUCAAGCUUUCAAGAAUUUUGAAAUACUUACAUCAGCCACCAUGAGCUUGACAGCUUUCCAGAACUUAAAGAGAUACUAAUGAAUGUGACUUUUUUUUAAUAUUGUACAAUGAAUCGUGUCAACAUUGGAAGAUCUCUCUGCUUAUUGAAUAGAUAAUAUUCAAGUGACCAAUGCUUGUUGUUACCAAAUCAUGAAAGGGUAAAAGAUUAAUUCAAGCAUCAAGAUAACCUGGUGGAUUUAAAUGUAACAGAAUAUAAAAAGUUCAUGUAUUUUCAAAUUCCCUAUUGUAACUAACCUUUAAGAAACUCCCAGUGUCUGCGUUUUGGUGUAGUAUCAAAGAAGAAUAUCCACAAUUAUGUGAAAAGGCUAUUAACACACACCUCCCUUUUCCAACCACAUAUCUGUGUGAGAUCAGAUUUUCUUCAUAGACUUUAACAAAAACAACAUAUUGCAACAGACUGACUGUGGAAGCAGAUAUGGGGUUCAGUUGUCUUUUAUUAAGCCAAUCACAAAAGAUGCCUGCAAAAAUGUACAGUAACGCCACUCCUGUCACCAAUUUUUUGAACAUAUUGUUAUUUUUUCAUGAAAACAUUCUAGAUAUGUUAGUAUAUAAUGGGCUUACUGUUCUUUUUAAAUAGAUUAUUAAGUGACUCUUUAAAAUCUGUCUUAAUUUCUAAGGACUCACCUCAACAAAAGCACCAGGGGCUACAGUAACUUUCCAAAGGUUUACAUUUUUAAGAGUUCUGAGACCAAAAAGUUUGAAACCCACUGAUCUAGAGCAGCUGUCUCAACCCUUAUUGUCCAUUAAAGUCAGCAAGAGGUUUAAAAGAAUUUUCACCUCUAUUUCCACCCAAGCUGAUUAAAUCAGACUCUUUGGUAACUGGGCUCAAGCAUGGGCAUUUUACAAAGCCUCCCCAGGGAUUGUAUUAUGCAGUCAUACCUUAGAAUUUGGUCAAGAAAUCAUGUUAUGUAGCUGCCACCUGGUUCCCAUGGAGAGGAGGGAGCACAGUUGGCUGAGACCUGGUACCCAUCUUACAGAGUUGACUCCUGAUUUGGUCCGUGUUCUGAGUUAUUGAGUUAAUAAGUGACUACACAUGGCAAGUGUGCUAUCCAGAUUUAAGGAGGAGCAGUUGCCCCUGGAGAAGGAAAUGGCAACCCACUCCAGUAUUCUUGCCUGGAGAACCCCAGGGACAGAGGAGGCUGGUGGGCUACCGUCUAGGGGGUCGCACAGAGUCGGACACGAC